rnacentral:ncRNA from 1 species
UUGAGCGCGUGCUUCAGAAUGACGUUGCGCUCGGAGACGCCCUUGGCCUUAGCGGUGCGAAUGUAGUCCUGCCCCAGCACGUCCAGCAUGGAAGAGCGGGUCAGACGCGUGAUGUAGCUCAUGGGAUAGAGCGACAGCGUGAUGACCGGCAGGAUGAGGC